UGUUGCUAGGUCUGUUGCUUGAACUUGCAACAUUCUGACCGGACUACGUAAUGAGUUAAAGCGUCCGCUGCUAUGCUGGUUGCUUGGCUCUAUUUGACCUCGUAGCAGUCACGAAGGAAGGAGGAUGCUGGCAGUUCUCAUUCUAUUUCACUGCAUAAACGCUCGUCAGUCUGAGCAAAAUUAUUAUUGCUCUCCGAGGACGAUGUUUUUGACGGCGACAACCUGCUGACUACCUGCUGCUUCAGAGGACCGAAAAGACUGUCAAGAGAACAUUUUCUAUACCAUGCGAAGUACUAUGAAGACACCACUGAUCUCGACAAGACGAGCAACAUUCAGAGAAAUUCACAUUCAGGAUCACUGAAACCCCUCCUGAUGUGGUGGAAGUUGUCGAACCAGAUCAGAACGCUUUUGAGUACCAGGCACGGACUGAGAAGGAUGUGGAGGUUUUUGACCAGGUGAGACUAAACAUGGACAAGACGCAGGACAAACAGGAGAGCUACCGAAGCAGAAUCAAGAAGGGGACCAAGUGCUACGACAUCUGGGUGAAUUACUUGGUUUGGAAGAAGGACGAAAGGAAGGCGAGUCCUGGGAAACCUUGCUGCUCCUAGCUAGGGUCACCAUCUGUUAAAGGUUACCUCAGCGGAAGCCAACAAUCUUCUACAGUUGGAGCAGUUGGACGGUCGACCAGUGAAAGCACUGACACACUUCACUUCAGUGAAGCCCAAUAAACAAAGACCAUCAACUGUUCGAGUCCCCCAGGAGGUAUCCCGUCCACCAAAACCAGUGAGUUCGGAUCAUUCUGAUUCUCUGUGGUCUGAGUCGGAGGGGGACCAGCUUGAGGUGGGCUAUACCUUCCAAAAGUGUUGAAGUACAUAUCUCCCAUUUAUAACACUGCACUAAUUCAACAAAUGUUCUUACAGUAAAGUGUAACCUGUGAGAUACACAGAUUAACUAAAAACAUGAGCACUGCAAACACUCAGAACAAAGAGAGCAGCAGUGCCUGGACUUUGCAGUCUGCCUCUUCAAGUCCUCCUUAUGUGACUGGCUGCCUGUUGAGAACAAGUGACGGGCAGAACCUCCCACCCACACAGCAACCCCUUCCUCUAUAUUCCACACACCAGAAUUCAGUAUUUUAUUCUAUGAUUGCCAUGUGAGUGCACCAAAAAAUCUGUGAAAAUAAAUUAAUGACACAACUGUACCAAAAACU